rnacentral:rRNA from 1 species
CAGCAGCCGCGGUAAUACAGAGGGUGCGAGCGUUAAUCGGAUUUACUGGGCGUAAAGCGUGCGUAGGCGGCUUCUUAAGUCGGAUGUGAAAUCCCUGAGCUUAACUUAGGAAUUGCAUUCGAUACUGGGAAGCUAGAGUAUGGGAGAGGAUGGUAGAAUUCCAGGUGUAGCGGUGAAAUGCGUAGAGAUCUGGAGUAAUACCGACGGCGAAGGCAGCCAUCUGGCCUAAUACUGACGCUGAGGUACGAAAGCAUGGGGAGCAAACAGGAUUAGAUACCCCUGUAGUCCCUGUCUCUAUACA